CCUACGGGAGGCAGCAGUGGGGAAUAUUGGGCAAUGGGCGCAAGCCUGACCCAGCAAUGCCGCGUGAAGGAAGAAGGCUUUCUGGUUGUAAACUUCUUUGACAGGGGAAGAGCACAAGACGGUACCCUGAAAACAAGCCACGGCUAAAUACGUGCCAGCAGCCGCCGUAAUACGUAGGUGGCAAGCGUUGUCCGGAUUUCCUGGGUGUAAAGGGCUUGUAGCCGGGAAGGCAAGUCAGAUGUGAAAUCUGGGGGCUCAACCUCCAAAUUGCAUUUGAAACUGUUUUUCUUGAGUACUGGAGAGGCAGACGGAAUGCCUUGUGUAGCGGUGAAAUGCGUAGAUAUAAGGAGGAACACCAGUGGCGAAGGCGGUCUGCUGGACAGCAACUGACGGUGAGGCGCGAAAGCGUGGGGAGCAAACAGGAUUAGAUACCCGAGUAGUC
rnacentral:rRNA from 1 species